rnacentral:rRNA from 1 species
GAGUUUCGGACAAGAUGAAGGGAUGACUUAGUGGCGGACGGGUGAGUAAUGCGUGAGCAACCUGCCCUUCAGUGGGGGACAACAGUUGGAAACGACUGCUAAUACCGACAUAAAGUAUUCGGAAGGCAUCUUUUGAAUACCAAAGAUUUUAUCGCUGAAGGAUGGGCUCACGUCUGAUUAGCUAGUUGGUGAGGUAAUGGCUCACCAAGGCUGCGAUCAGUAGCCGGACUGAGAGGUUGACCGGCCACAUUGGGACUGAGAUACGGCCCAGACUCCUACGGGAGGCAGCAGUGGGGAAUAUUGGGCAAUGGGCGCAAGCCCUGACCCAGCAACGCCGCGUGAAGGAAGAAGGCUUUCGGGUUGUAAACUUCUUUUAGCAGGGACGAAACAAAUGACGGUACCUGCAGAAUAAGCACCGGCUAACUACGUGCCAGCCGCCGC